AUUGAACGCUGGCGGCAUGCCUAACACAUGCAAGUCGAACGGUACCAGCCCUUCUGGUUCUUCCUAGGGGCGUACCGCGGAGGAAUGCUUCGUAACGUACCGAAUUAUUCGUUAUAACGGGGCCUAAGCUCGGCUAAUAUCUCCUGUUCUCUGAUUAUGCAUGCGGGUGACCGCCCGGCAUGUUUUGACCUCGCGCCUUUGUAUCGGCCGAUGUCGGAUUCGCUAGUUGGGGGGGUAAAGGCCUACCAAGGCGACGAUCCGUAGCUGGUCUGAGAGGAAGAUCAGCCACACGGGGACUGAGACACGGCCCAGACUCCUACGGGAGGCAGCAGUGGGGAAUAUUGGAGAAUGGGCGCAAGCCUGAUCCAGCAAUACCGCGUGCGGGAAGAAGGACUUCGGGUGGUAAAGCGCUGUUGGCAGGAAAGAAAAGGAGCACGUUAAUACCGGGCGAUAAUGACGGUACCUGAAGAAUAAGCACCGGCUAACUACGUG
rnacentral:rRNA from 1 species